CUUUUACUCGUGCUCCUUUUAGCUAUCUACAAGGGGCUACAUGAAGCGAAAUGAGCGACAAAAGCGAGUAGUUUUCAAUCUGAUAAAAUGAGGAAAAUGCAAAUGGG